CUCUACUCAUAGUCUAUUUUCCUAUAUACCACUAUAUUUUCCCCUUUACUUCUCGAUUUUUCUCUGUGAAUUCUCCUGUUGGCAUAUGCCGAUAGUUUAUCCAACUUUGUUCUAUUUGAAUUUGCUGCGAGCUCUUUUAAUUUAGUCUGUUGUUUGUGCAAUUUUCUUUGUUUAUUGCCCUUCUUCUAUUGCUAAUCUAAAUUUUGGUUGGUAAAUGUUUGUUUUCUACUGUUUUGCAUAAUUGUUGCUAGAAUAUUUACAUACAUAUCAAUAAAUAUUCCUGAUUUGCACAUUUACUAUGUUUUUUUUAUGAAAUUUGUUCGUUUUCUGCUGUUUGGCAUAAUUCUUGCUAGAAUUUUUACAUAUAUGUCAGUAAUUGUUCUUGAUUUGCACAUUUACUUUAUUUGUUUGAUGAAAUUUAUCUUUUUAUCAAAAUUUUGUGGUAUCAAUAUUCGUUUGAAGAUUGGGUCUCUUAAUUUACGUUAUUUUUUUCCUGCAGAUUAACCUAUCUAAAGAUGCAAUUCUGAAAUAGGAGACAAACACGGAGAGAUGGAGGACGGGCUGAUCGGUGGUUACCGUUAAUAUACACCUGGAGAUAAUUUUAAGAGUUUCAAGUAGUUCAAAGAUAUCGCAAUUUUUUACAAAUUGGUGGCAAUUAAGGAUUGAUAGUUUGACAUUUGAAAAAGCGAAAUCAGUUGCUCUGUCCUUCUUUGCUAUUCGGGUUUACAGGAGCAGCUUUUCCUAUGGCAAAAAAUACUGAAGCUACUGCCCACAAGUCCAAAAAUGAAUCUAAGGUAAAAAUUUUUUUUACUUUUCCCUAAUGAUAAAAUUUGUUCUGUUGGAUUAUGGUUUAUUUUCGAGAUUCUGAUUUCUAAUGUUUUAUUUGAAUUUAGUUUGGAAUGAUAAACUAAUGAUCUUGUGUAUGUUUGUAAUGAAGAUUUGGAGGGAUAGGACUAUGGUUAUCUUGGAACUUGUAUUUUCAAAGGUUGUAGUUGGUAAAAUAUUGGUUAUAUGCUUUGUGCCCCAGAUAUAUGUAUCUUGAGAAUCCAAAUUUCCCAAGGCUGUAAAAAUUAUUGUUAAAAGUUAUGAUAUCAUCAUAAUGGGAAAUUAAAAUGCAAGCACAUUUUUACAAGUAGCAAGUGAGUUAGGCAUUGGUUGUUUGAGAUAAAUACUCCAGUUAAAUCUCAAAACUCUUUAUAUUAGGAAUGGUUUGUCAUUUCAUUCUGGGUCGAGUUACUUUGAAGAUAGUUGAGACAUAAAGAUAGUUGACCAAAUACGUGAAGUGAUAAGAAUUAGCGACUUUGAGAAAUUAUUUUAACUUCCCUCAUGGAAUUGAUCCAUUGAAAAACCUACAGUUUGAUCCGAUUCAAGGAAAUUAGUAGUUUCUUCUGUGAUUUGUUUCUACAAGGUCUUAAUUUUAUUUGUUGAUUCUAAUCUUCUAAAAUACAUAUUUGAGCCUACAACUUGGGUAUAAAUGUGAUCAUGAGCUAUUAUUGAAGUAUUGUCUACUAGCUCUGGCACUAGGAGUAUGUCAGCAAGUAAGUUGUAAUGCUAAGGAUUACCAUGCUAAGAAAUUGCUUAUACUUUCCAGUUCUGCUGCACCAAGUAAGAUAUAAGCCUCAAAAUUUAUGGAUAUUGCUAGCAGAGAAAAAAAAUACUUGGACUUCCAUUAGGGUGAGAACAUCUUUAUGUGGCAACAAACAUCUGUAAUAGAAACAUAGAAUGUCGCAAAUAUUUGUGUGCUUAUCAUCUUCUUAUGCAACAUUCUUCAACUUGGGAUACAUGUUUCUGCACUAGAUGGCCUCUUUUCCAAUAUUCAAUCAUCAAAAAGGGUGUACAAAUGAUAAAGUAAAUGCUAACAAUGUUUUUUUUUUACAAUGUCAAGAAGGGAAAUGUAGGAUUGGCCACUAGAACUAUGAUGAAAUUCCUAGAAUUCCUCUAAGAUUAGAAGACGGCUAUACAUUUUCUUUUUUUGGUCAUUUGAACUGAAAAUUCCAGCACUACCUUAUUGCCAUUUCAAAGAAAAAAGGAACUCAAUUAAAUUAGGAAUGACCAAGAGUAUCUUGCAACUUAACAAGGUACGUGAAAGACUUUAUAUAUAUAAUAUGCAUUUUCCUUCUGUAUUGCUUAUAUUAUGUAAUUAUUGGCUUUGCUUUCAGGUAGUAUGGUCGAUUGACGACAUCUUUGAUAUGCUUCACUUGGCUAGACUAUCAAUUUUGGUGUCAUUCUGUUGCAUAGCCUCUCAAAAAUUCGUAAAUUAUUAAUCUUAAUUAAAGAAUUAUAAGUGUCAUGACUUAAAGUACUUAAUAAAAAAAUCUUGCGUUGAUUUGACUGCACUCCUAAAUUAAGGGGGUAUCAUUGUGAGAUAGCGUAUAAAGGAAAAGUGAUUACUCAAAUUUUGGAUGACAAGAGUAGUAGUUUUUGCCAAAAAUAUUACCUAUGCAGAAAAUGUUCAGAAUAUGGAAUCUUUUAGUGUAUAUUUAGGUGUCAAAUCAUUAGCUACCAGUUUAAUAUGAAAAACACUUCUGAAAGUAUUUGUGUGCCAUUCUCAUGUACUAUCUGACUUAACAAAAAUAUGGAAAAGGGUGUUUAAAAAUAUUUGUGUGCCCUUUUCAUGUACUAUUUAACUUAUCAGAAGUAUGAAAAAGGGCGUUGAAUCAACUACUCAAUAUUAUACUUCAAAUUUAAUUUGUCACAAAUAAUUAGAUAUUUCAGCGUGCUUCUCUCCUAUCUGUGCUUCUCUCCUUGUCACAAAUAAUUACAUUUCUCAUUCUAAGCAUGGAGAAAUUUUCAUUUUCCAUUCUCGGAUGUGUAUUUAUUGGUUGCAAUAUUGGAUAUUACCUUAGCCUUGGCAGUGAUUAUGUCUCAAUAUGGUUCCUCUGAGGAGUUGUUACUAUGCAUGAUGAUUGAAUAUCAGCUCUAAUUUGAAAGAAUUUCACAUCUGCUAUUGUGAGAAUAAUUUCUAGCAUUUCAUUCACCUCCAUUGCACUCAUUAAGUUAGCUUUUUGAAAUUGAUAAUUUUGCUCCUGGUUCUGAAUAUGGAGUUGCCAUUUCUUGUUUUUACUCCUGCUGCCAUGUUCUGGUGGUUGGAUAAUGGAUAUCCAACAAGAAUACCGAUGAUGUUUGAGUUUUGACACGAUUCAAGAAACUUUUGGUUCUAAUGUAAUAACUCAUAAGCUUUGAUUGAUGUUUACUUGUCUUUUGAAGGUACUAUAAAACUUCUUAUACGUUCUUCUGUUCAUUGUGCUCUUGUUUCUAGUAUAACAAGAGCGACUGAUUUGGGUACUUUACCUGAUACACAAAAGGGAAUAAGCGGUUAAAUGUGCUUGUGAUAUGUCUGUGCGUGAAAAUACACACUUCAUGUAUUCUGUGGGUAUUGCAUCAAUAAUACCUGAUUGUAAUCGUUAA